GGAAAACUGUAGUAUAUACUGUAGUAAUUAAUGUAGUGUUUUUGCAGAUUGUAAUAUACUGUAGUAUUUACUGUAGUGUUUUUGCUGACAUUACUGUAGUAUUUACUAUAGUGUUAUUGUAUUAUAAUCUUUGACAGAAGUGAAGGCUUUCUCCUUCAAGAAACCUUCUGGAGAACUAAUAAAAGAGCACAUUUUGCAUAACCUGUAGGUAGGUAGGACUGGGGUCUGAACGGAUAGUUCAGAGCUUCUGCUCUUUUCCAUAACCUGUAAGGAACACAAUAUAUGGUCUAUACUUGGCAUGUAGGUUUCUCACUUAUGGGUGGCACAAAUUGCGAUAUUGAGUAGGGGAAUGGUCAGGGUAUAUACAAAUGAAAUACUGUAGUAUUUACUAUAGUUAACAUUUUUUUGUAUAUUUUCAGUCAUUACUGUAGUAUUUACUAGUGUUUUUUUGUCGGGAUAAUACUCUAGUAGUUACUAUAGUAUUCUACAUUAUACUACAACCUUCUAUAGUAAGUACUACACAUGAUCGAGGGAUACUACAUUGUGUAGUAUAAUAUUCUACAUUUUACUAUAUCAUUAUUUUCUAUAGUAAGUACUGUAGUAUUCUACAGUAAACUGUAGUAUAUUUUCAUGUGUGUGUGUCUCUCUCAAUCAACAGAUCUCAACCCAAUUAACCCUUAUGGGAGAUACUAAAACGCGAUGCCUGAGACAGCGUUUUCCACAACCAUCAACAAAACACCAAAUUAUAGAGUUCCAGACGUUAGAAUCUAUGCCAAGGCACAUUGAAGCUGUUCUGGCAGCUCGUGGUGGCCCAAUGCCCUAUUAAGACACUUUAUGCUGGUGUUUCCUUUAUUUUGGCAGUUACCUGUAUAUAAUUUAUGUUAAUACAGUAUGUGACCUGCAAAAUCUACAUAGCUGUGUGUUAAAAUGGGAUAUUAUAUGACUAUGGCCGCAGUGUUUGAGCAGAGUUGGUACGAUAAAUGCACAACUGAAAGCACAAUCGUUUGGAGACUUUGGAACCUGCAUAUGUAACUGGUGGUUUUAUGCUCUGUAAUGAAAUGUUUUUCAGAUACAUAAUCAAAACAAUGUGACAGACAGGAGGUACUUGUAGAGGUCUGCUCCAUUGGAAGAAGGCUGAGUUUAGUUAACUAUAGAGUAUGGAGUCUUCCUUUGAAGAAAUGUCAUGCUUGGUCUGCAGACUGAAGUUAUAUAAAAUGUACUGGUUAAUUAAUGGUUCAUUUCCCUUAGUUUCUUCUGUAAAUGCUUAACAGUGCCUUUCUUGCGUUUUAAUAUGAUUAUAUCUAUAUUUUCUCCACUGGGCUGUAUAUGUAGCUACAGUGCUUAGCUACGUAGAAUAACUCAUACAGGUGUAAGUUCAGUUUCUGAAACUUGGAUAACACACUUUUAAUGGCUGCAAAUCUACUACAGUACAUGUUCUAUAUCACUUGUACUGUCAUUUAUUAUCCAAAACAGGCCUAAAAGGGCAAUUCCAACACUUUUCAACCUUAUUUUCAUUAUCUCCAGCACAAUUAUAGUGUCUUCAUAUGUGAAAAUGGCGCAUUUCUAGAAAACAUAUAUAUAUAAAGUAAAAAAGUUCUAUGUGAACGUAAAAAAAUAAACAUUUAUUUAACAGUGAUUCCCUAAGACUAUGAGACUCGCGGUGAUGUGGGGAGCAUGAAAAUACCCUCGCUCUGGCUAGAAAGUCAUUGCAGGUUUUGAAAAUCACAGUUUUCUUUACUUUUAAUCCUACCCUGUUUUUAGGACUUUCCCUAUUAUCUUUUUAACCACAGAUCAUAGAAACGCACUGUUUUCACAUAUACUGAGGGUGUUUCUCCAUAUGCAUACUACCUUGCUCCACACUCUCAUGCUCUGAGUGCAUUCUCUGAUGCUUUCUCUUGAGUAUGUUCUUGUGAGGACGAGAGUGUGGAGAAUGUAUAAAACAUUUACAGGACUACAGGACAUACAACAUUACGUUUGAGAAGCACCCCCUACUGUAUUACCUCACGCUUCACUUCCCCAUUCCCUGAACCUUCAUCCAGCCAGGACAAUGGCAAGAAUAGACUAAACAAAAAAUGACCUAAAAUGAAUAUUAUGCAAGAUAGAUGUCAAGUUUUCAUGGGUAGCUAGCUAACUAUUCUUUGUGGCUAUCUGGCUAGCUAAAAGUAGUAGCUAGACAGUUAGCCCUAUUGACUUAUUAUGGGCUUGAGAUCUACGGUACGUAGGCAGGUAAACAUUAACACAGCAUGUAUUUAUUAACGUAUCAAGAUAAAAUAUUGUAGUCAGGCAACAUAUGAGAUGUGAAUAGGCAACAUUUCAUUCUGAAUUCAGAGUGUAUUUUCUCUCGCUUCAGCUUAAAUAAUGGCCGUCAUUUUUUACGUGGCUGCGUCAUAUUUCUUUGCAUACUUUCCAUACUUUCAAUUGAAGCUUGCAUCGAUGCAUGCUUCAAAAUAUGUACUAUUAUACAAUGGGUGGGUCUAAUCCUGGAUGCUGAUUGGUUAAAACCACAUUCCAGCCGGUGUCUAUUCCACAAGUUACCACCGGCUAAUGCUAUGACAUUGAAAUACCUAUUUACUCUCACUGCGCAAUCCACUGUCUCAUCAACCCAGCCAGGCAAUUUCUAAACUUGAUCUCCACUAUAAAAAGCAUCUACACAUUAUCUCCCAUUUCUUUUAGACUAUCAUUUGGUUUUCAACAGCAGAGAUUUGUGUAAACCUUGCAGUCUGUCCUCCAACAUUUGCAACAUUGUUUCAAUAUUUAAAUGUAUCUCCGGCUGUCCCAUAGUAAUGAACAUGUCGGGAGUCGGGACUAGACAGACAGGCAGACAGAUGUUCUUAGCCAGUCGAAAUCAUGAAUCAGCUGGUAUCAUUUUUAUGAAUAUAUACAAAGAAAUGUCAACAGAAAACAGGUCAAACUAAAUGAAGUUGAAGAGCAGCUAGUUUGCAGUCUUUCUAGCUUCAGACUGAAGUGAUUGUGUUAGCUGUGUUGUUGGCUAGCUCCUAUGAACAACAGUGUCCUAACGAGAGAGCACAUUUUCUAUGCCAGGCGAAAUCGCGCAUCAUUAGCUCAUUGUUAAGGAUGUAUCUAAAUAAAUGUCACUAGAAAACAGUUUAAACAAUCGCAAAUGCAGCUACUUUGCUGUUAUUCUGGCCGUAGUUAGCCGUAGUUGGCUAGCUAUCAAACGAGGAAUAAGAACGUUGCCAGCCAGUAUGGCAAUGGAACAUUUAGAACAAACUACUGAGUCGCGUCCAUGGAUACAGAACAAAAAGGUCUAACGACUGGAUCGCGUCUCUAGCAACCGAACCAAUAGAACGAACGACCAGCCGGCUUGUGUAGCAACCCUAGAUUUGUGUCGGGACUAUAUCUUGUGGAAGAAUGAAAUGAUAUGAAUUCAUUUAUCAAAAUAAUGUUUUUAUGAAAAUAUGUCAAUCAUUAUUUGAAUAUGUUGGUAACUCCUUGAAUAAAAGUGAUAAUUCCCUUGAAGCCGGUGUUUGGAGGAUAUAUUGGCAUUUAUAACACCAGUGCCAAUAUAUCAUCCAAACACCGGGCAUUAUUACUUAAACAGAGUACGCAUUCAAGAAGUGCUCUCAGUGCUCCGUUUCGCAUACUUUGAUUUUGGCUCAUACUCUGACCCUCCCAUGCUCCAAUUUGCGUGCUCGGAGCACAGUUGUAUGCAUUUUGAGAAACAUCCUGAGUGUACAAAACAUUAGGAACACCUCUUCUUUCCAUAACAUAGACUGACCAGGUGGAUCCAGGUGAAAGCUAUGAUCCCUUAUUGAAGUCACCUGUUAAAUCUAUUUCAAUCAGUGUAAAUGAAGGGGAGAAGACAGGAUAAUUGUAAAGAAUGAUUUUUAAGCCUUCAGACAAUUGCGACAUAAAUUGUGUAUGUGUGCCAUUCAGAGGGUGAAUCGGCAAGACAAAAGAUUUAAGUGUCUUUGAACGGGGUAUGGCAGUAGGUGCCAGGCGCACCGGUUUGUUUCAAGAACUGCAAUGCUGCUGGGUUUUUCACGCUCAACAGUUUCCCGUGUGUAUCAAGAAUGGUCCACCACCCAAUAGACAUCCAGCCAACUAGACACAACUGUGGGAAGCAUUGGAGUCAACAUGGGCCAGCAUCCCUGUGGAAUGCUUUUGACGCUGUGUAGAGUCCAUGCCCUGACGAAUUGAGGCUGUUCUGAGGGCAAAGGGGGGUGGAACUCAAUAUUAGGAAGGUGUUUCUAAUGUUUCGUACACUCAGUGUAUGUCGAUACUGUUUUGGUGCUGGAGAUAAUGAAUACAUCAGAAUUGCCCUUGAAAAUACAUGGUUGAUAAUGUUAACAUUCCUAAUUCUUUCAAAUUAAUGUAUUAAAAUGCACAUAACAGAGGUUACAAGAUCUCUGUGGAGGAGAAAUACAAAAUGAAUUGUAAUAUUAUACAUCAAUAAACUACAAACAUGAAAGUAUUUUUUGGUCUGGAUGUCUUGAAUGAAAUACUGUAUAACCACACCAAGUUGCACUAUAAAAAGAGGCUUAGGGCUAGGAUUGCAAAACUACUGGUAGUUUACAAAAGUUAUCAGAAUUUCCGGUAAUGUUAGUAAUUAACAGGUAAUC
rnacentral:lncRNA from 1 species